GUUCAAGUGUUAGAAUGGAGAGCUGGAGUUCGUUCAGAAUAGUGCUGUGUGUUACCGCGUCUCCCCUGCACCCCAUUCCUAUCUUGUAGCUCAUGACCGUUGUGUAUAGCAUGUCUACACUUUGUUUCUUGGUCCUUGACAAUAAAAAGAAUGAUCUCCCUGAGCCUUUGACCCCAGAUAAACCCCUCCCGAUUAGUGCAUUUUCAUUUCCCACUGAUACAAGGCCUGGAGAGGGCUGCUGGGGGCCCUCAGGGAGGGUUCAACUCUGAGACGAGAACUGCCUUGGUGAAGGCAAGUUCAAGCACCACUUGAGACUGUGGGCAGCAUGGAGUAGGGCAGGGCUACGGGGGUACACAGUGCACCCUGCAACUUAUACCUGAGCCCAGUACAACAAAGGUGAUGGGUGUGUAGGUACACACCGAGAUGAAGCACUGCGGAUCAGCAACCUCAGCCCCACCUGGGAGUUUGCUGGAAAUGCAGGCUCAAGCCCGUCCCCACACCUGGUGAAUGAGAGAGCCCCAGCCUGACCCAAGCCCAGGGCGACUCCCAUAUCCUGAAGCCUGGGACAUGCUGGGCAGCACUGGUGCCCAAAUCUGGCUGGUGGACAGAAGCACCUGGAGAGUUGGAGAGCUUUUUAAAAAGACAUCUCUCAGCACUUCCCUCUCUGCAGAUUCUGACUCAAUUAAAGAAUAUCUCCUCCAGGUGUGGUGGCUCACACCUGUAAUCCCAGCACUUUGGGAGGCCGAGGCGGGCGGAUCACGAGGUCAGGAGUUCAAGACCAGCCUGGCCAAUAAGGUGAAACCCCCAUCUCUACUAAAGAUACAAAAAAAAUAAGCCAGGCAUGGCAGUGGGCGCCUUUAAUCCCAGCUACUCAGGAGACUGAGGCAGAGAAUUGCUUGAACCCAGAGGUAGAGGUUUCAGUGAGCCGAGAUCACGCCACUGCACUCCAGCCUGGAUGACAGAGUGAGACUCUGUCUCAAAAAAAAAAAAAAAGAAUA
rnacentral:sRNA from 1 species